CCCUACGGGGCGCACCAGGACCAGGAGACCAAUGGCCGAACGUCUACAACCAAAGCAUUCCGAGGAGCCGCAUGAACCGCAAGGGCUCGAUAUCGUUGCCUCGAUUCUGGCGGCUGGGGUACUGCGCCUUCGAGCCAAGAGGAACCUGUCGGAUACCAGAAAAAGAGAUAACCGUUCUCCAAAAAUGAACUUGAUUUGUCCGUCCGGAAGAGCGUUCAUGUGUCCGGCAACGAAACGGAGAAAGCAUGAUGACAACAGCAGAAUCCUCGAAGACCGGGGCCAGCUUGCGUCAACGCGCGGCAUUGCGCCACAUGACGCUGGACCAGUUGCGCGAUGAAUGGCGGGUGCUCAACGGCACGGAGCCGCCGCCGUACAAAACAGGUUUUCUACGCAAGCGUUUGUCCUACCGGCUGCAGGAAUUGGCGGGGGAGC
rnacentral:rRNA from 1 species